AAAAAACCCCGAGGUGGAGCAAUCCUAGAAAAGCCGGUCUCAGUUCGGAUUGUAGGCUGCAACUCGCCUACAUGAAGUCGGAAUUGCUAGUAAUCGCGGAUCAGCAUGCCGCGGUGAAUACGUUCCCGGGUCUUGUACACACCGCCCGUCACACCACGAGAGUUUACAACACCCGAAGUCGGUGAGGUAACCGCAAGGAGCCAGCCGCCGAAGGUGGGGUAGAUGAUUGGGGUGAAGUCGUAACAAGGUAGCCGCAUAUGGUGCCCAAAUGGACGAAAUAUAUUUUUUCUUGGUAUAUGGAAUAAAAAAAUU
rnacentral:rRNA from 1 species